AUAUUGGACAAUGGGCGAAAGCUUGAUCAAGCCAUGCCUCGUGUGUGAAGAAGUUCUUCGGAUUGUAAAGCACUUUAAGUUGGGAGGAAAGGCAGUAAGGUAAUACCUUGCUGUUUUGAAGUUACCGACAGAUUAAGUACCGGCUAACUUCAUGCCAGUAGCCGCGGGAAUACGAAGGGUGCAAGCGUUAAUCGGAAUUACUGGGCGUAAAGCGCGCGUAAGGAGUUUGUUAAGUUGGAAGUGAAAGCCCCGGGCUCAACCUGGGAAUUGCAUCCAAAACUGUCUGACUAGAGUAUGGCAGAGGGUGGUAGAAUUUCCUGUAUAGCGGUGAAAUGCGUAGAUAUAGGAAGGAACACCAGUGGCGAAGGCGACCACCUGGGCUAAUACUGACACUGAGGUGCGAAAGCGUGGGGAGCAAACAGG
rnacentral:rRNA from 1 species